GCCUCCGUAGCUCAACGGAUAGAGCAGCGGACUUCUAAUCCGAAGGCUGCGGGUUCGAGUCCCGCCGGGGGCA
rnacentral:tRNA from 1 species